CAAGAGCGUAUGUAAAAGUUGUUGCAGUUAAAAAGCUCGUAGUUGAACCUUGGGUUUGGUUGGCCGGUCCGCUUUUCUGCGAGUACUGGAUUCAACCGAGCCUUUCCUUCUGGCUAACCAGUCGUUUCGGCGGCUGGCGAACCAGGAUUUUUACUUUGAGAAAAUUAGAGUGUUCAAAGCAGGCAUUAGCUUGAAUAUAUUAGCAUGGAAUAAUAGAAUAGGACGUUAUGGUUCUAUUUUGUUGGUUUCUAGGACCAUCGUAAUGAUUAAUAGGGACGGUCGGGGGCAUCAGUAUUCAGUUGUCAGAGGUGAAAUUCUUGGAUUUACUGAAGACUAACUACUGCGAAAGCAUUUGCCAAGGACGUUUUCAUUAA
rnacentral:rRNA from 1 species